rnacentral:rRNA from 1 species
UGACUCAACACGGGGAAACUUACCAGGUCCAGACAUAGUGAGGAUUGACAGAUUGAUAGCUCUUUCUUGAUUCUGUGGGUGGUGGUGCAUGGCCGUUCUUAGUUGGUGGAGUGAUUUGUCUGGUUAAUUCCGUUAACGAACGAGACCUUAGCCUACUAAAUAGUCGCUCCAAUGACCAUUGGCUGCGACUUCUUAGAGGGACUUUGUAAUCAAAUGCAAGGAAGUUUGAGGCAAUAACAGGUCUGUGAUGCCCUUAGAUGUCCUGGGCCGCACGCGUGCUACACUGACGCAUACAGCGAGUAUCUCCAGCUCCGUGAGGCAGCUGGUAAUCAGCAAUAUGCGUCGUGAUGGGGAUAGAUCUUUGGAAUUUUUGAUCUUGAACGAGGAAUGCCUAGUAAGCGCAAGUCAUCAGCUUGCGUUGAUUAAGUCCCUGCCCUUUGUACACACCGCCCGUCGCUCCUACCGAUUUCGAGUGGUCCGGUGAACCCUUUGGACCGGAGCCCGUUCCUUGCGGGCACUGGAAAGUCGAGUAAACCACAUCACUUAGAGGAAGGAAAAGUCGUAACAAGGUUUCCGUAGGUGAACCUGCGGAAGGAUCAUUAGCACUUGACCAAACCUACUCAACCAAGCCAUACUGUUGCAGAGCGCAAGCUUUGCAGCUUAAACCUAACCAAAAGAAGCUUAACUAAGCUMAUCAAAAACCAAAUCCUCAACGAUGGAUAUCUAGGUUCCCACAACGAUGAAGAACGCAGCGAAGUGCGAUAAGCAAUGCGAAUUGCAGAACCGGGAGUCAUCAGAUUUUUGAACGCAACUGGCUCCUGGGGGCUCUCCCCCAGGAAUGCUUCUUCCAGUGUGUCAUUAUCUCCUCACCYAAACCUUAAUGCGAUAGAUGCCCUUCUAUUGCUAAGCUUGAAAGCACUCUGAGCUCUGCAGCGGCCGUCUUCGGAYGGAAGCACUCAAUGCAGCAGUCACAUUCUCCAAUGUGAACUCAUUGAGAGUAGAGUCAGCGCAUGUCUCAUGCCAGUGCUUAGACACUCAAAUUUUCACAGCAUCUGGGAUGAAGUAGGACCACCCGCUGAACUUAAGCAUAUCAUUAAGCGGAGGAAAAGAAACUAACAAGGAUUCCCUUAGUACGGGCGACGGAAGCGGGAAAAGCCCACACUGGUAAUCUCCGGUCGAGAGGCCGGCGAAUUGUAAUCUGAAGGACCGUAGCCAGGGCAAGCAGGGGAGGCGCAGAAGUGUCCACGAGCGGACCGCCAAAGAGGGUGAGAGCCCCGUCUGUGGUGUCUUCCCUUGUCCGGCUGGGGCCCAAAGAGUCGUG